rnacentral:misc_RNA from 1 species
AGUAGAGGGUGAGCAGGAGGGCAAGGGAGGUCUGUUUCCAGCGAAGCAGCAGCAGGGCCACCGAAAGGUAAAGAAGGUUGAACGAGAGCGAAUAAAGAACAACGAUCGCCUUGAAGGGAAGGCCCAGGGCGCCGCCGAGCCAGACAACUCCCUGGGUGAGAAACGAACCGUAGCGUUGCUCCUGGAUCUGCAGGGAGCCUUCCGUAAGGAUCCUGUGGAGCAUGAAAGGC